rnacentral:rRNA from 1 species
UACGGAGGGUGCAAGCGUUAUCCGGAUUCACUGGGUUUAAAGGGUAGGUAGGUGGUCUCGUUUGUCUGGGGUGAAAGCCUUGAGCUUAACUCAAGAAGUGCCCUAGAAACGGCGAGACUAGAGUCUUGGAGAGGGUCGUGGAAUUCCCGGUGUAGCGGUGAAAUGCGUAGAGAUCGGGAGGAACACCAGAGGCGAAGGCGGCGACCUGGACAAGUACUGACACUCAACUACGAAAGCGUGGGGAGCAAACAGG